rnacentral:tRNA from 1 species
GGAGGAACCAUGGCUCACUGGAAGAGCUACUACUUGUCAUGCAGAAGUUCCCAGGUUCAAUCCCCAGUGUCUCCA